rnacentral:rRNA from 1 species
GACGAACGCUGGCGGCGCGCUUAACACAUGCAAGUCGAGCGAAGCGGCGGACGGGUGCGUAACACGUGAGAAACCUGCCUUAGACAUUGGGAAAGCCUCGGGUAACCGGGAUUAAUACCAAAUGGUCUAAGAUGGCCUCGCGUCCCAUUAGCUAGUUGGUGAGGUAACGGCCCACCAAGGCGACGAUGGGUAGCCGGCCUUAGAGGGUGAACGGCCACAUUGGAACUGAGAAACGGUCCAAACUCUACGGGAGGCAGCAGUGGGGAAUAUUGCACAAUGGAGGGAACUCUGAUGCAGUGACGCAGCGAGAACGAAGAAGGCUUUCGAGUCGUAAAGUUCUUUUAUAUGGGAAGCGGUACCAUAAGAAAAAGCCCCGGCUAACUCCGUGCCAGCAGCCGCGGUAAUUC